AUCAGUGAUGAACCUGCUGUGACGAACUGCGACCGCCGCGGCCACAAUACGUCACGAAACCGUCACAACGCCCCUAGUGGUCAAUCCGCAAACAGGCCUCCCAGCCACUUUCAGCACACCGACAGUCUAACUUGA